rnacentral:rRNA from 1 species
GACGAACGCUGGCGGCGUGCUUAACACAUGCAAGUCGAGCGGAAAGGCCACUUCGGUGGUACUCGGGCGGCGAACGGGUGAGUAACACGUGAGUAAUCUGCCCUUGGCUUUGGGAUAGCCACCGGAAACGGUGAUUAAUACCGGAUAUGACCACUCUAGGCAUCUAGUGGUGGUGGAAAGUUUUUCGGCCAGGGAUGUGCUCGCGGCCUAUCAGAUAGAUGGUGAGGUAAUGGCUCACCAUGGCUUCGACGGGUAGCCGGCCUGAGAGGGUGACCGGUCAGACUGGGACGGGACCACGGCCCAGACUCCUACGGGAGGCAGCAGUGGGGAAUAUUGGACAAUGGGCGGAAGCCUGAUCCAGCAACGCCGCGUGAGGGAUGACGGCCUUCGGGUUGUAAACCUCUUUCAGCAGGGACGAAGCGCGAGUGACGGUACCUGCAGAAGAAGCACCGGCCAACUACGUGCCAGCCGCCGCAGUAA